rnacentral:pre_miRNA from 1 species
AAACACCGUAGUUUUACACCGUUUAUGUCUAACCUUCAGUCAUCCGUCUUAUUUAAAAGAUUUCUAUGAUUAGUAUUUUUUUAUUUAGAUGAUAAAACAUGAAUAAUGCUUUAUGUGUGACUUUUUUUUAAAAAAAAUUAAAUAAGGCUGACAGUGAAUAUUGGACACGGAAAUCCAUAACUGCAUUUAAA